rnacentral:lncRNA from 1 species
GGAAAAAAAUUACAACCAAAACAAUACAUAUGUGUCCAUACGAAAUUGGAGUUGGAAGCAUCCAAAAAAUUCAAUCAAAUUUACAUACAAUACUAACACGGAUAAGAACAUCAUCUAGAACAUAUGAAUAACAAUAAUAGUAAGAAACACACUUAAAAACCUCAAAUACAACAAUGUCAAUAAUCACAUGAAGAAAAGAAAAAAUAUGAUAGAACUCAUGUUAUUCAACCAUCCAAUUUUUAGAAAAACCAAAGCACACCUAUGAGAGUUUUUAAUUGGAGACUCUGUGAAAACUUAAGAAGACAUUUGAGAGCCAAAACUUGAUUCUCAUUUCUUCUUCUACAAUUGGAACCCUAACUCCUCUUUAAGUUUUCAUCUCCCUUCUCAAUAUAUGAGGACCUCUAGACUUCUCCUCUUCUUCUUCUUCCAUGUUGAAACCCUAACUUUCCUUUUCUACACUCUCAUGAUUUCUCCUUUUCACUCUUGUUCUUGGUCCUCGCUACUCUAAUAGGGGUGUGGGUUUCUAUGAUGAUGGUUCUUUCAUGAUUUUCCCUUUUCCUCUCUUACUCUCUCUCUCUCUGUCUCCCUCUCUCUCUCUCUCCC